ACCUUUGCGCAGUGGCGAUAGCGUGACCAGUGAGGCUCUGCCGUGGUGCGUUUAUUGCUGGUUGAACAAUGUUCACAAAAAAAACCUUCGGUUCAAAAGCACCGCAAAAUCAAGAAGAAAAUCAA
rnacentral:snRNA from 1 species